AAAGAAACCUGGCAGGGGAGAUAUGGUGAUCAUGAAGGUGGCUUUCUGAGGCUAAGGCUUGUUCGCUGUACUCCAUUUGUGCUGACUUGCGAUUUCCCAAAAUGUGAGAAAUGAAGACUGCAUAAUUUCUGGUGCUGGGAGACCAUAUGCACCCUAUCUCCUG
ensembl:snRNA U1 U1 spliceosomal RNA